CCCCCCCCCCACUCCCGGGAAGGUGUGGUCAGGUACAUCUCCCUGGAGGUGAAUGUCUCUGUCUGAAGGAUGCGGCUGAGAUGAACCCUGAUGGGGAAGCCAUUCUGACACAAACUUCCGGACUUCCAAGGCCAGGCUGGAGCCCAAGAAGGCUUUGCAGACCCCGAGUGGCCCAGUGUGUGAGCCAAGUGCUGUCUCUGGAGAUGAAGCCAACAGCUCAGCUCUGCCUGCGUGUCAGCUGCCUGGCGCGGGAGCCAGCUGAGCAGGACCGGCGCGGCCCCGAGGCGGAGGCCAGGUGUGUGUCUCUGGUCAGGCCGGCUGAGCGGCCACGCCUGAUGUCACCCGGUGUCACCGAGCCCAGGCCCCACCCGGGCUGGGCUAUGCGUGCUGGCCCGCUCUGCCAAUGCGCUUAGGGCCCUUAUUUCCUCUUUGAAUGUGUUUCUGAAAAACAUAUUCUUUCAGGUGAAAAAACAGUUUAUGUUUUUUAGGAUGAUGAUUUGAAAUAAAGCAAAUACUGGUGACAUAGUUACAGAGAGCUGUGAAAGAACCACAGACAAUCUACUCUAACUGCAGUUCUGUUUAUCAUUCUAUAAAAGCAGCCACCUUUGGGAUUUGUUUCUGUGAGUGGUAUCAAUUCCCCAAAGAGAUCAGCAUAAAAAAGCGAUUAAAAGAAUUUUGUGGGAUUUUUGCUUUUAAAUAAAAUCUUGGUAAACCAA